AAAACUUUCAACAACGGAUCUCUUGGCUCUGGCAUCGAUGAAGAACGCAGCGAAAUGCGAUAAGUAAUGUGAAUUGCAGAAUUCAGUGAAUCAUCGAAUCUUUGAACGCACAUUGCGCCCCUUGGUAUUCCGGGGGGCAUGCCUGUUCGAGCGUCAUUA
rnacentral:rRNA from 1 species